UCUGCAAGAAAAGAGCCUCUAAACCCAAAGAACAUCCUGAGGAAACAGUGUAUGCUAAUUUCACAGUGACCAGUCGAGAGGAGACCAGAGAGGGCGAUGGACAGAGUAGAUCCCCUCCUGUGGAAAACUCAGCUGCUGCAGCAUCCAGUCCUCUGAGCAAAACCGAAGACGAUUCAAGUGAUGUCGUCUACACUCAGGUAGAUUUUUCCAAGAGAGCUGCCUCCUCACUCAGCAGCGCCCCCUCUGGUCAGGCCGAUAACGUUAUCUACGCCGUGCCUCGGAGACGCACUGAUGCCAAAGAA